CUGAUGGGUGGCUGAAUCUCAGUUUCAUAGAUUGAAUAUCGAUUCUGAAACAACAUAAAAUGAGGCUGGGUGUUAGGAGGCCGGGUGAAGAUUGUAACUCAUGGAUGACAGAUGAAUCUAUAGAAGACAAAUCAAAGCGACUUUCAUGGAGUUAGUUCAUCAGAGACAUAGCAAGUAAGAUAGGAUUUACGGUGGUGCCAUCUAUAUAUAUCUACUGUUUUUGGGUCCUUGAAGAGGUUAACACAUCUGUCUUUGAGGAGGCACAAGCCACAAGCUGCAUUAUUGGAAUGUCAGCAAGUUUGGCUUACUCAGUAGCAACUUUAUCUAGAAGAAAGCUAUAUCCUCAAAGUACCUUCUCCCUCUCCAAUGAGUUAUUUUGCCUUCAGAUAAAGGAACUUUUCUAUAUAUCAAGAGAUUAUCAGUGGUCUUGUUGUUGGUUAUGUUGAUGCUAAAUCAGUUUUCCGGGUAUGCACUUUCCAAGGAUGUUGAUGUGCCUUACGGAAAAAGAUCUUCCUACGAGUCAGGACAGGAGACAGGCAACAAAGCCUGAAAAAAGACAACACCCAAGACAUCAUCUACUAACUGGAACUGACAAAGGAACCAGAGUGUGGGUUAUAAGAGAAAGCAGUAAGUAAGGUUGUGAGAACCGGAGGCAACAUCUUGGACCUCUUUCCUUUCACCAACGUCUUGGUAUCAGGGAAUAUUCCGUCGCCGACUUCCUCAACCGCACCAUCUCUGGCCACACUAAUUGGGUACGCAACCAAAUGGACACCGUUCAUGUCCACGACCUUGUCUCCGCUAUAAAUCUCCCACAUCUUCUCCCCAAUUGUCCGCAACCCUCGAACGCAUUCCAAACUCUCUGGCUCCGUCAAGGAUAACUCAUCCACUGUGAUCUGGCCACCGGUAUGCUCGUACCAGAGCGAUAACCGGUAAGCUCUGAUCUCGUUGGUGUUCUUUGUAUCGGUUUGGUGGCAACCAAUUACAAUCUCCGUGUCACGACAACCAUCCAUCGAUCUCUGGUUUAUAUUGGCAGAUCCUACCAAAACAUCAGGAGUUUAACCUAUCAUGAUCUUGGAGUGGACAUAGACCAUGAAUCUCCGGUUCCUCUGCGCAUUCCAAUAAUGCGUCCUGUGAUGCGGCGACGAAACUGCUUCAUGCUCUCCAUCUCUCUUCUCUUCUCUGUUUGCGAGACAGAAGAAGUUUAGAUAAUCUCUCGGAUGCGAUCCGUUUCCACUUUCCCAUAUAGCCUCUCCGAUGAUCCGAUACAUCAUUGACAUGGUCUCUCGCGUCCAGUGAAGCAUCU